AUUGAACGCUGGCGGCAGGCCUAACACAUGCAAGUCGAGCGGAUGAAGGGAGCUUGCUCCUGGAUUCAGCGGCGGACGGGUGAGUAAUGCCUAGGAAUCUGCCUGGUCGUGGGGGCUAACGUCCGGAAACGGGCGCUAAUACCGCAUACGUCCUGAGGGAGAAAGUGGGGGAUCUUCGGACCUCACGCUAUCAGAUGAGCCUAGGUCGGAUUAGCUAGUUGGUGGGGUAAAGGCCUACCAAGGCGACGAUCCGUAACUGGUCUGAGAGGAUGAUCAGUCACACUGGAACUGAGACACGGUCCAGACCCCUACGGGAGGCAGCAGUGGGGAAUAUUGGACAAUGGGCGAAAGCCUGAUCCAGCCAUGCCGCGUGUGUGAAGAAGGUCUUCGGAUUGUAAAGCUCUGUAAGUUGGGAGGAAGGGCAGUAAGUUAAUACCUUGCUGUUUUGACGUUACCAACAGAAUAAGCACCGGCUAACUUCGUG
rnacentral:rRNA from 1 species